CUAGCAAAGUGAAAUCUUAUACAGUUAAAUUAAAGCAUUAUUGACGUUACAGAGCUGUCCUUCAAUGUCUGUUAUGAACGUUGCCGUCACUACCGCAAUGCAUUUUGGGAUAUUUAUGCCGCCGUAGUAUCCAGCGUUGCAUACUGCAAUAUUUCACUGGAAAUAGUAUGCAAUUCACGUACUAUUGAUUUCAUACUAGGGUUUCGGACAUACUAACAAAUCUCAAUAUUCUUUUAGCGUACUAAAUAGCAUGAUAGUAUAGAAUUUCAGACGCAAAAACGCCCGAAAUCAGAACUGUGUCCAUAGCAACGGUCUGUUAUACAUAGCAAUAAAAAAAUAACAGACCGUAGAACGCCGUGAUUGACCAAUCAGAAUCGGGUGUUCAACAAAGCUGUGUAAUAAAGGCCUGGUGUCAUUCCUGGUGGAUGAGCGUGCUGCAAUGAGUUUCACACAGUAGCACAGACGAUCAUCAAACGACAGCCUCCACCACAGGGCAUCUAUACAAAAGGAAAUUUCACACCGGGUCAUACAAUUCCUGCUUUUGCCAUCCUCUCUCGCAUGCUGUCUUUAUGAGACGUGCUCAUUGUGAAAUGUAGUUGUGACACUGCAGAGCGUGUGUCUUGACCACAUGUGAUAGCCAAGACCAAAGGGGAACCCCUGAUUUUCCUCUUCUCCACCGAAAUAAUUAUGACAGUGUGAAACAAAACCAGGAGGUAACCGCUGCAGGGAUCUGUAUCUGGACGGCGAUCGGAUACGAGGAGACUCUUUAUGAAGAUCACGGAUCGAUCAGCGUCCUGUGGGGAGCUACUGGGCGUGGCUUAGGCGUGUGAAACGACAUGGAGACGCGACCGUUCGUUCUAAACAUCAAUGGCGGGUCCUGAAGAGAUUCAGACCAAAAUAGACCAGACAUCGAAACCAUCUCUGAAGAUCCGUUGGUACGUGCUGUGUGAACAGGGGCAGCGCUUCUCCGAAAAUCUCGGCGCUUCCGUGGCCCUUUGUGAACCCGGUAGGAUACAGGCUCAAAUUGAUCGCAGAUCGCUGGGCACAGAGGAGAAACAGAAGGUUCUGGGGUGAAAGGAAGUGGGUGAUGACGGUUAUUGGAGACAAGGUUAAUAAGUUUGAAAGCAGUGGACACGCAACAGACUUGCAGCCCAGAGAGGACACACUAUUCACUCCGGAGGCACAGAUGCUCCAAUUUUUUACAAUAAAUAUAACGAAUUUGAAAAA